rnacentral:rRNA from 1 species
UACGUAGGGUGCAAGCGUUGUCCGGAAUUACUGGGCGUAAAGCGUGCGCAGGCGGUUCUAUAAGACAGAUGUGAAAUCCCCGGGCUCAACCUGGGAACUGCAUUUGUGACUGUAGAGCUGGGGUACGGCAGAGGGGGAUGGAAUUCCGCGUGUAGCAGUGAAAUGCGUAGAUAUGCGGAGGAACACCGAUGGCGAAGGCAAUCCCCUGGGCCUGUACUGACGCUCAUGCACGAAAGCGUGGGGAGCAAACAGG